AAAAAAAAUCACCAGAGUAUUCAACCAGUGGAAGAGGUUGCCCAUAAAUUGAUGGGAUCUCCAUAAUGGAGAUACUAAAAACCCAACAGAACCAGCCUCUGAGAAACGUAAAUUAACUUUGAAGUUAGUCAUGUUCUGAGCAGUAAUUCUUCCUUCACCCUUAGCUUUUGGCAUAUAAUUCCCUGAAAGCUCACCCGUAACUUACGGCAAGGUAAUUGCCUUCUCUGAGCAUAGCAUAUCUGAAUGCCAGUUUCCAUGACUGGUCAGAUCACAGAGCACCUUUAACGAUGCAGCUCUCUGGUAACAGAACAAGUUUGGCUUCUCCUGGUGCCUCACAGCAGCUGGAAACAAAGCUGAGUGCCCUCCAGGGCAGUGAGAGUGUGUGCAAGAUGGAUAACUCUUCCACUGCAAGGCAAGAUGGAAAAGACUGCAGAACAAACAUGAAGGCUUUGCUCCUUUGCAGGCACAGGAAUCGUGCUUUUCUGUCCUUUCAUGUGAUCCGCCUACCACAGAAAGUUGCUAACAAGGACUUGGAAAGUAAAAUGUGCAUUAAAUGAACGGGUUUGGCAGAAGAAACAUCUGUUUAACUGGAGUGGAUGACUUCAGCUGCAAUGUGCUGCAGAGACCCAGAGCAGUGCUCAGCAGGAUGACCUCUGCCAGAUCAAUCUUCAGCGAGAGAACAUCUCACAAAGCAACUGCCCCACCUCCACCUGUCAUUUCUUGAGGAAGACCUACAGAAAAUCAUAGAAUCAUAGAACCACAGAAUGGCCUGGGUUGAAAAGGACCACAGUGAUCAUCCAGUUUCAACCCCCCUGCUAUGUGCAGGGUUGCCAACCACCAGACCAGGCUGCCCAGAGCCACAUCCAGCCUGGCCUUGAAUGCCUCCAGGAAUGGGGCAUCCACAACCUCCUUGGGCAACCUGUUCCAGUGUGUCACCACCCUCUGUGUGAAAAACUUCCUCCUAAUAUCUAACCUAAACCUCUCCUGUCUCUGUUUAACAAGCCUAGGAAAUAAUAUUCAACUCUGUUGGCUACUAAAAGUCAGCAGCUCAGCAGUGCCACGUGCUUCACGCUGUCCUGCAGUGCUUCAUGCACCCUGCAUCUACUGAUCCCUCUGUCCUCAGGUGCUCCCUGCCUGGUGCUGCCACAGGACACAUCCCACCUGUCCUUGCCACCACCCUCUGUGGUCCACAGGUGUCGCCUGCUUAUGCUUUUACAGUGAUUUUACUAAAGGUAAACUGAACUCAAAGCGAUCACUCCUCACCAGCAUCAUGACAUUUGCAGCCUCUGUCUCAGACUGGUAAAAGAGCUCGUCUGGCCAAGGUUGACAUACAGUUUUUGAGAGCCUAAUCAAAAAUUAGAGCUACAAUCAUUUCUUGUCUGUGUCCUGAGGCCUUCAGAGCCGUUACAAGAGUAAAUAAGUGAUCAGACAUAUCCUUUUCUCGUCGUCGCAGCAAGGCUUAGGCUCCCUUCUGGAAGGGAGCAGCUCAUAACAAAGGCAGAGCGAUUCCUCUGCUAUCUCUGGUGGUUUUUGCAAAUGUGAAAGAUGUGCAGACAUAGCAGAGAAAAAAGAUAGCAAGUAAGCGCAGACAAACAUAGACGUCUUCACAGGAGGAAAAUUCCCCCACCCCAGUACAGACUUUUGGCUGAAGGAUAAUGUCUUUGUUCCCGGAUCCAAGAUGCUGUCACUCCCGUUUCAUUAUUCCUCCUCUAAAAGAAACAGACUUUUCACAUUCUUUGUAAAUGAAAAGGAUUGCAUUAAGUAAAAAACCUGUUUAUUGUUAGCUUUUCUUCUUAACAGAAACUGCCUGCAGGGUCCCUCGCUGUGGCCAGCAGUUUGACAGAAAGCAGUAAUAGUCCUGUGAGUGAAUCCAGUGUGGUAUGUGCAUCCUUAUUAGCCAGGAUUAAUGAAAAUGAAGAAGAAGGAAGUUGUGCUGGGUGGAUGCUGGAGCAUUUGGGCAUUUUGGAACUGAUCAGCUAGUUGAGUUUUGAUAAGUUUGCAGAUAAGUGCUCCAGGACACCAUCAAGCCUCUCUCUCCACAUAGGUUACAGCUCCAGGUCGUUAGAAGCCUGAAAGUCCUCUUUGCAAAGAUUAAAUCUGCCUCCUCCUCUACGAAUACUGGCACUGUAAGAAAGACUGCAAACUUAGGAACAUCCCAACCUGUCUUACAAAAGCGAGACUGCGCAUCAAAAUGUUAUAUGCUAUUCAUUACCAACAUUUUAAAGAGCUCAGGAAGACUUCCACACACGAGCUGAAGAAGAACAGCCCAUGCAGCUGGACCUCACGUUGUCCCAUGUUUAAAAGUCGUUAGAGGGACAAAAUGUAAAGUAACGUGAUGGGGCUGUCUUGCAAAUGAGUGGAAGUUGGAAAAUAUAACACUUCAAAUAGGACCAUCUCUUCCAGGACUGAAUGCUUGAUGAUACAGAGGUACAGUCCUUAGGUGGCGUAGACCUUUUCAUCGUCUCAGGUGAAGACUGCAGGGUUACAGAGAUGUGAAAUUAGGCCAUGGGAGAGAAUAACUGUAUAAAAUAAGCACCUGAUGAUGAGUGUCACAGUGGCAUAGCUGGUGGUUCAAACGUGUGGCACCUUGGCAGCAGGGUCCUCUGGCUUGGAGCUCCAAGAAAGCCUUGGUGUAUAACUGUUUUAUGAGACUUCUCGUGUCCGUCGCCAUGAACUUAUCAGAAACACUGGUCUUAUCACCGUGAGAUAGUACUAUUUAUUAAGGCUUAUAGUGUAACAACUGACACUCCUCACACUGUGUAUAAACUCUCCUUCGAAGUCUAAAGAUUUAUAAAAAGAGAGUGAGGAAACACAGAUACUGGGGGGAUGGAAAGCUGUCAGCGAGAGCCCUUUGGCUGAGCCUGUCCUGUCGCCAGGAGGGUCUGUGCUCUCAGAACACAAGCACCAGAGAAGAGCAGCUCCAAAACCCAAUGGCUGCAUUGCUGCAGGCCACCGGCAUUGGUCUCUUUAAGCAAGCAGCGAGGGCAGAGGGGGUGAAAGAUGGAGCCUGCCCAUCACCUGUGCCAUGUGGCUGAGAUGGAGCCAUGGGGAACCCGAGAAGAAACAAAGGCAUGGGGAUCAUUUUAAAAGCUCCCUUUCAUGGUCUGAGAGUUCACAAGCUCAGCAAACAAUCAUUUCUCUGUGGGUUUUGCUGGAGUUAAGUGGAAGGCUGUAAGGAGUCCUGCCACCUCUCACAGAGCCACAGCUUCAGGGGCUUCUGUGCUUCAGCCCUGCAGUCUCAAGCCCGUGUUGGAACAGGACCAGAAUGAAGCCCUGACAUAUGUUGCAGCCAAAGAUUUCCCAGGGUUCCCAAGACGGUUGCGGGAAGCCAAGCGUUCUUAAAUUCUUCGGAAAAUCCCAAAUGCGCCCAUGAUGACAAAGGGCAGCUUCUGGUCUCACCCAAAUAGCAACCAGCUACAAGUCAGUCUAUUUGUCCUUCCCGUGACAUCUUAACAGCAGAGAUUAUGCAGAAGGCACUUUGCCAAUCUGUGCUGGCUCUUUCUGCAGCUGGUUGAUAGAGAAAGGAGUGGCUUCAACCAUCCGGCCCAAGGUUCUUUCAGCAUAACCUGCAUUCACUCAGCGAUUUGCUAACUGGAUAAAAAGUCUUGGUAACAUUCAAGACAGCAUGGCUUCACAGUGACAGCUAGCAGACAGCAAGGUAGUGUGGCUUUUACUGUUCCACGCAUUCUCCCUACAUGCGCUAUGAUUACUUGCAGCAUUAAAAUAGUUUUUCCUUCUGGUUCUCAUUUUGCUAUCACCAUUAUUCACAGUAUGGCUGUGCCCACAUCUGGAUGUCUGGUGGUACGUACUACUCUAUGUGGUAGUGCCCAGUGGCCAGGAACCUGCUGUGGUAGGUGCUGGGCUCUCAGGCAGAAGCAACACCUGCCCUGAAGAGUUCAUGACUGCAAUGGAAUAUUAACAUGGAAAGAAAACAUUAAAUUUGCAGCUGAAUGCAGUCUAGAUUCAAAUGAAGGAGAGGCAGUAAGAAUGACCAGAGCCAGUUCUUCACUCCCACUUGCUUCUUCAGACUUGGCUUACAGGAAGGAGUCCUAGACAGUAUUAUGCAGCUGAGACCAUUUUUUUAGCUGUUUCUGGCAAAAGGGGCGUUGAAGAACCAGUAGCUGAGGAUUUAAUGGAUUAUUUAGGACAGAUUUACAUCUCUUUGCAUGCUUUGAGUGAUACAAAGAAGCAGGAGACAUGCUGGCUCUGAGAACAAACUACCUGCCUUCCCCAUGGCUGUGAGGGUGUUUGGUGCAAUGUAAUGCACAGGCCCAGACGCUAGCAAAGGAGCUGAAUGGGAACUUUAAGGUAUGAUCCUGGGUGAGUGCCUGGACUGGCCAUCCUGGGAGCAGAAUAAGUAAGACUUGGAAAUGCUAGGAGGAGGAAAGAAGCUCCCUUUUAAAACUUAAUGUUACUCUGUGGAAGUUAGAAUAACCAUGGGAUUGGAGCACUCUGAGAAAAGCAGC
ensembl:lncRNA